CAUAAUUUCAUCGACUUUAACAUAAUUCUUUAACAAUGCCAGCAGCUACCGUAUCACCACUUCUUCUUAGAAUAAAUCUUCCCAAAGCAGGGCAUUCUUCUGCUAGACAUAAAGGAAAUAAUCCAUCCAAAAAACUUAUACGAACUAAUGCGCGCUUCCUGCUUGCUAUAUGCCUCGAACGUUUAUUGUUAACUGUAACAAUUUUUAAAGAUACCGAAGUCACAGUCCUACCUAAAUGAAGGACAAGGGUAGAACCUGAUAAAAUUGGACCGUGAAUAUCAAAUGUCUGGAUUUCAGCAACAAAUGAUCUUACCCUACGAACAGGAUUUUCAUAGUUUGAUAGUAUAUCCCCAGGACGAAGUUGAUUAACUUCAAUGUCAGCCAACUGUAAUGUAACUGUAUCACCAGCAACAGCCCAAGUCGAAGAAGGAUCACUAUUACGAAUCACAUUUUUUACAUAUGCGUCUUCCUGAGAAGAAACAUCAUACAAAACUUGAUUGACCUGAACAUUACCUGCUUCGACCCUCCCGGUAACUGUAACACUACGUGGAGAACGAUAAACAUCAUCGAUACUUAGUCUCAACGGUUUCCGAUAUGGCUUUUCAGGGG